AGAACGAACGCUGGCGGCAUGCCUAAUACAUGCAAGUCGAACGAACACUUCGGUGUUAGUGGCGCACGGGUGCGUAACGCGUGGGAAUCUGCCCUUGGGUUCGGAAUAACAGUUGGAAACGACUGCUAAUACCGGAUGAUAUCGAAAGAUCAAAGAUUUAUCGCCCAGGGAUGAGCCCGCGUAGGAUUAGCUAGUUGGUGAGGUAAAGGCUCACCAAGGCGACGAUCCUUAGCUGGUCUGAGAGGACACCAGCCACACUGGACUGAGACACGGCCCAGACCUCCGUACGGGAGGCAGCGAGGUAGGGGUAAUUUGGAACAAGGUGGGGGAAACCCUGACUCCAGCCAUCGCG
rnacentral:rRNA from 1 species